UUAACAUCUGAAGGGUCACAUGGGGCCAGAGGAGUCCAUCGGAGCUCAGGGCGAGGGGCAGGGUACAGCCUGGACAGGUCAUCAGUCUCUGGCAGGGAGGAAGGAGAUUGUCGAGAUGGAGACUGCGGUCUCUGAAAUCCAGGAGACAUG